CAUACAAACAGAGAUGUUACUCUUUCCUGGGAUUCACUUACCAUUUUCAUUUUUACCUCCACUCUUUAUAUUUACCUUGCUCUUGACAAUGGCUAGCCAAGGAACUGAAGAGGAAGAGGCGGCUGCACAAUCCUAAAAUCGUGGAGGCAGUCCGUCCGCUACACAACUCUGAGGAAACUGUAGGCGCUAUGACCCGGAGCAAGGGUACGGAUGAAAGAUGUGGGCUAACAUGCACUCUGUUGUUUCAGAAGCAAAUAAACAUUGUUUUAACUCUGUAGCUUCAUUAAGCUCGCCAUAUAAUGAGACAGUCACCUCAUUUUAGUGGGAGCACUGUCCAUAAGCCCAAAAUUACACGAUGAAGGCCUGGAUAAAAAAUGUCUUUGUUGUUGCCUGCAAGACAUACUACGAGACCAUGCAGAGAGAUUUCCGGUACAGCCAGCCAGAGCUAGCAAAUGUGGCUGCACCUAAUAAGACCUCAGCCCGGAGUCGCCAGAGGAGGAAGAGGGUAAGACAGAUUAGAAAUAAAUUUGUUUUACUUAUUUCUGUUGCAUCAGUAUAAACUGUAAUGAUAUACAUGUUGCUUAUUAUAUGUAACAAUUGUGUUUUCAACUCUUGGAGGUGGGGCAAAGAGUACUGGCUGUGGACGAAGUGGACUUCUGGAGGGGAUGGAGUCUCGGGGUGGAUUGUGAGACCUCCAUCAUUCCGCAGCCAGGAGCUCAGCAAUCUGUGUGCUAAGCUGCAAGAGAGACUAGAAGCCAGUUCAAAGUGUGUAGCACUGCAUCACCGGCGUCUGUGAACUGGGCUGUCGUCUAACAGAACGCCACCCGCAUACCUACGACC